rnacentral:rRNA from 1 species
GGCCAAUCCACCCUGAGCGCGCCCGAUCUCGUCUGAUCUCGGAAGCUAAGCAGGGUCGGGCCUGGUUAGUAUUUGGAAGGGAGAAAGAAAAAUCAGUUCCACAAUGUCA